rnacentral:rRNA from 1 species
GACGAACGCUGGCGGCGUGCUUAACACAUGCAAGUCGAACGGAAAGGCCCUGCUUUUGUGGGGUGCUCGAGUGGCGAACGGGUGAGUAACACGUGAGUAACCUGCCCUUGACUUUGGGAUAACUUCAGGAAAACGGGGCUAAUACCGGAUAGGAGCUCCUGCUGCAUGGUGGGGGUUGGAAAGUUUCGGCGGUUGGGGAUGGACUCGCGGCUUAUCAGCUUGUUGGUGGGGUAGUGGCUUACCAAGGCUUUGACGGGUAGCCGGCCUGAGAGGGUGACCGGCCACAUUGGGACUGAGAUACGGCCCAGACUCCUACGGGAGGCAGCAGUGGGGAAUAUUGCACAAUGGGCGGAAGCCUGAUGCAGCAACGCCGCGUGCGGGAUGACGGCCUUCGGGUUGUAAACCGCUUUCGCCUGUGACGAAGCGUGAGUGACGGUAAUGGGUAAAGAAGCACCGGCUAACUACGUG